AUGGGUUCUGCUAUUUCCAUGAAAAGGGCCUGGCUGGCGAUCAGGGGGAUUAGUGAAGCCAAAGCUGAUAAAAUUCUGACUGAGGCAGCUAAAUUAGUUCCGAUGGGUUUUACCACUGCAACUGAGUUCCACCAAAGGCGAUCAGAGAUCAUACAGAUUACUACUGGCUCCAAAGAACUGGACAAACUACUUCAAGGAGGAAUUGAAACUGGAUCCAUCACAGAGAUGUUUGGAGAAUUCCGAACUGGGAAGACCCAGAUCUGUCAUACAUUGGCUGUAACAUGCCAGCUUCCCAUUGACCGGGGUGGAGGUGGAGGAAAGGCCAUGUACAUUGACACCGAGGGUACCUUUAGGCCAGAGCGGCUGCUAGCAGUGGCUGAGAGAUAUGGCCUCUCUGGCAGUGAUGUCCUAGAUAAUGUAGCAUAUGCUCGUGGGUUCAACACAGACCACCAGACCCAGCUGCUUUAUCAAGCAUCAGCUAUGAUGGUAGAGUCCAGGUAUGCACUGCUGAUUGUGGACAGUGCCACCGCCCUCUACAGAACAGACUAUUCCGGUCGAGGUGAACUGUCAGCCAGGCAGAUGCACUUGGCCAGGUUUCUGCGGAUGCUUCUGCGACUUGCUGAUGAGUUUGGUGUAGCUGUGGUAAUCACCAACCAGGUGGUAGCCCAAGUGGAUGGAGCAGCCAUGUUUGCUGCAGAUCCUAAAAAACCUAUUGGAGGAAAUAUCAUUGCUCAUGCCUCAACAACCAGACUGUACCUGAGAAAAGGAAGAGGGGAAACCAGAAUCUGCAAAAUCUAUGACUCUCCCUGUCUGCCUGAAGCUGAAGCUAUGUUUGCCAUCAAUGCGGAUGGAGUGGGAGACGCCAAAGACUGAAUCAUUGGGUUUUUCCCGUGAUAAACCUGAGUGCUGCAGCCUCACGGAGAAGACUGCUCCCUGGGGUUCUUCGCAGGCCUCUUCCUGUUGUGACUGCCAGAAAAAGGGCAUCUGGGAACACAGCUAUUGUAUCAGCUUUUCUGAUGGAGUAAACAGGAGACAGUCAGUAGUCACACAAAAAAAAAAAAAA